rnacentral:rRNA from 1 species
CGGGUGAGUAAUGCGUGAACAACCUGCCCCAUGCUCCAGAAUAGCUCUUGGAAACGGGUGGUAAUGCUGGAUGCUCCAACUUGACGCAUGUCUUGUUGGGAAAGUGUUUAGUGGCAUGGGAUGGGGUCGCGUCCUAUCAGCUUGUAGGCGGGGUAAUGGCCCACCUAGGCUUCGACGGGUAGCCGGCCUGAGAGGGCGGACGGCCACAUUGGGACUGAGAUACGGCCCAGACUCCUACGGGAGGCAGCAGCG